AAAAAAUGGGAAAAUAUUUACUUUUUUUUUGUUAUCCUCAUUUCCUUUGAUUCUAUAAACUCGUUGAUGCCUCCUCUAUUCAGAAAAUUCAAUGUUGAAAUCGUAAACAAGUUAGGGUUUAACAAGAAACUCAAGGUUCAUUGCAAGAGCGGAAGUCAUGAUUUUCCGAUUACGUAUCUUAAUAUCGGCGAAAGUUUUCAAUUUAAAUUUACAAUCCUCCUAACUACUCUAUAUUGGUGCAAUUUGUGGCAGGGCCCAAAUUACAAACACCAUGUGGUUUUUGAUGCGUUUCUUCCGGACAAAGAUUUUAUAGAUGGUACAUGUACUGGAAUGCACCCUAAUGUAUGUAUGUGGAUCGCAAAGGAAGAUGGAGCCUAUGUCCUCAACAAGAAAUUUCACGGAGAAUAUUUCAUGUAUAAAUGGGAUGCUCCCACAAGAAACACUUCAGAGGUUGCACCUGCGAAUGAAUAUGAAUUUAAUCAUGUAUAAAUAUAUAUCGUACAAGUGGAUAACUUGUUUUUGGGUGGUCAAUUCUUAAUAUUGAAACCGUUAUGCUGUCGCUUUGGAUAAAUUAUCAAAUUAAAUAACUUUUAUUCCAG